CCCGUUCGGGGAACCCGGUGACAGGUGCUGCAUGGCUGUCGUCAGCUCGUGUCGCGAGAUGUUGGGUUAAGUCCCGCAACGAGCGCAACCCUUGUCUUUAAUUGCCAUCAUUUAGUUGGGGCACUUUAAAGAGACUGCCGGUGUUAAGCCGGAGAAGGUGGGGAUGACGUCAAGUCCUCAUGGCCUUUAUGCCCAGGGCUACACACGUGCUACAAUGGGCGGUACAAAGAGAAGCAACCUCGCGAGGGUGAGCAAAUCUCAAAAAGCCGUUCUCAGUUCGGAUUGAAGUCUGCAACUCGACUUCAUGAAGUCGGAAUCGCUAGUAAUCGCGGAUCAGCAUGCCGCGGUGAAUACGUUCCCGGGCCUU
rnacentral:rRNA from 1 species